CGUGUAAGUACAUCUGGCAUUUGGUCAAUGUUGCAGUUCAUUUGAAUUCAUCCGUCCAAGAGUUACAGGUAGAAAUUCUGUCUUUCUUUAAUUCUGUGUGUCUGCGUUCUCUUAUAUGAUAGAUAAGUAAUAUGUAGGUAGGAGUAAUGGGUGCUGGAAUGCAAUAUUUAUGAAUACAAGGUAUUUAAAAAUUCACUGCUAUGAUUAUUUCUAUAGCUUUAUUAUUAUACGUUAUGUAACAAUUGCCACACAUGAUUUCCCUUUAGAUAUAAUUUGGGAAAGACAACUUUUUAUGAAUAGCUAGUCAGAUGUAUUGGCUUCAACUUUUUGCCCAUUAUGAUUACAGCAUUUUUUAUUCGGUGCCAUUUGUUAUAACCCGAGUUAGCCAGUCUUUUGAUUUUGCUCUGAAGAAUGGUCUCCUUUUCUACCUCACAUAAAAACAGAGCAUUUUGUAAUUUCUCUGGUUUUAUGUUUAGGUAUUGAUUCAUGACCCCCUUUUUAUCUGAUUGCCUGACAUUUAUCUCUAAAAUCCAAUGACACAAUAUAAAAUUCAUGGCUGUGCUGCGCAUGACAAAUGGUUCACAUUCUGAGUUUGCGACGAUAGUGAAACCAUCACAUUCCUAAAAACUGUAAAUGUUAUUUACUAACGUGAGUGUUGUAUGGAAUUUAAUGUGAAUUCCAAGUGAAUUUUAAAUUUUAUCCCAAAAUAGCUGAACUGGAAGGAUAACUGACUUGGAGAUUUUUUUCGAAUUAACUAAUUUGCCCUGAAAUUUGAAAGUCACUCUGAUUUCACCUUAAUUCUCAUUUUAGUAAAUAAUUAUGUUGUUUAACUGUUGUUGAUUUUAGAUGAUUUUAUUUUGUUUGAAUUCAACAUUUUGUCCUCCAAUGUAUUAAAGGGGCACUACAAGUACUAUAACUAGUACAGAUCACUGUAGUCAUUAUGGUGCCUGGUAUGCUCUGGUACCCUCCAAAUAUAAUUAUAAGUAAUCAAAAGGUUUGCAAAUGUUUUAACAGCUCGCUGGCUUUCAAUUAGCGUGCCCUGGACUGUAUAAUUUAGCUCACAGGAUCUAACAAAAGCUCCUUGGAGGAGCUUUCAGGGUUAGAGGUGACCAGUGCCCAACAGACCACAGGUAAGUUGUCAAAGAAUUUGCAAAUGGUUUGACUACUUAUCACUUGGAAGGUGCCAGGUGUGUGUUGAGGGUUAUAAUAGAACUAUGAAUAUUUUAUCUAUUUUAAUGCAAAUGAUUUUAUCAUUCAAAACCAGUUUUAGUCACAUGGUACAGUCAUCACUGUUCAGCAUAGUAUUUUAUCCAAAGAUCUCUAUAGAUAUCCAUAUAUUAAUUGGUCUUUAGCUCCUUGUUUACAGUGACAUUCCUUAUGGCAUUGCAAUACAGGGUCAUUCAUGUUUUAGAAAUGACAGAGCAAAGAGAGGAGUAGGCAUUGUUAUUAUGGUUGUAUGUUUUUAUCCCACAUCAGCGAAACGUUUUAUAUUUACUUUUACUACUGAAUAAAGGAAUUAUUUUGGACAAAUAGACCUGGUUUGUGCCAAUUUUCUUGAAAUUUUAUUUACCAUUUUAAAAUAUAUUUGAUAAUAUAUUUCCUUUGCUACUUAGAUUUUUACUACUAAUCAAAAGAAAUCCGAGGUAGAGAUUAUACCACCAGAGCUGAUACCAUCGAGAAGUAAGCCUGCCCUACACUGUUACUCCAAGUAAAUCUGAGGUGGGGAUCAUACACCAACACUAUAUCAAUAGAGCAGUGUUUCUGCUCUACACUU